rnacentral:lncRNA from 1 species
UCCUAAACUCGGCAAGGUUGUGGGAUAUAGAUCUUUCAGCUAGGCGGUAGUCGAAGGCAAGAGGGUGUUGAUAGUGGUUUGCUUAGUUUUGACCUACUACUAUGGUUAGACCCUGAAUGGCUCAGAAAAACUAGGUAAACUCAACUCUGGUCGGUGGAUCCUAGGCCUCAGGUCGUUCAGUUCUUUUCAAAGAAAGUGUCCC